rnacentral:rRNA from 1 species
UACGGAGGGGGCUAGCGUUGUUCGGAAUUACUGGGCGUAAAGCGCGCGUAGGCGGCUUUGUAAGUUAGAGGUGAAAGCCCGGAGCUCAACUCUGGAAUUGCCUUUAAGACUGCAUCGCUAGAAUCAUGGAGAGGUUAGUGGAAUUCCGAGUGUAGAGGUGAAAUUCGUAGAUAUUCGGAAGAACACCAGUGGCGAAGGCGACUAACUGGACAUGUAUUGACGCUGAGGUGCGAAAGCGUGGGGAGCAAACAGG